UGCGACCCCAGGUCAGGCGGGAUUACCCGCUGAGUUUAAGC
rnacentral:rRNA from 2 species